UCACUUGGUGAUUAGGGCUCACCCAUGUCAUUUGGUAAAUCAGUUUGACUGAUUUAGGUGCUCCUAAUGCCAGCUUUAAUUAAAUCUUUUUUAAUCUGACUUGAUGAAGUCAGUGGGAGGAUUGAAAUUGGUUGGAUAUUUUCUUCUCAUCUAUCCUUUAAUAAAAUCCUCAAAAAUUAUUAAGUCCCUAAAAAUGAUUAAGUUAUAUUGAUAACUAAGUCACAGCCUCCCAUUAAGUGAGUGAUAAUGAGUCUAUUAGUUUAAUAAUCAUUGGAAGCCCAAAGGUCUGGUGCUUAUUGACUAAUAGAAUUAUCAUUCAUAAUAUGAUAAUUUGGUUUGAGUCUUUCUGAUGGUGGUCAGAUUGGCCGGCCAAAGUCGGGCCUGAUCAUUUAUUGAUCCGAUUCACCAAAUCAAAUCAUGUUAAUGGUUGGACCUAACCAGAUCUUUUCAGUGGAGGCCAAAGCCUACUGAUU
rnacentral:lncRNA from 1 species